UCCCCAUUCCUUUGUAACUAAACAAGACAAUACAAAAUGAACACGCACCUUGGUCAUACGCUAGUUGUAUCUUUAUUGUUUUCCACCUUGCUUACUAACAUUUCAGUGGUGCAGUUACCAUACACAAGAGUUAGAUUAAGAGUAUCUGCAUUGCACACCUAAAGGCUAUACAGCAAAAUGGUUCCAAAUUAGUACAAAUACAUGAAGUCUAUUUACAGUUUGUAUACCCAAGCUCCAAACAUCAUCAGUUAUAUAUUUACAAAAUAAAACAUGGGGUUUGCCAGGGAGGGGAUGGAGUGGGGUUGGGACCCCCCCCCCCAAAAAAAAAAGGUGUCAAAAAUCAAAUUGUUAACAUCAAAACAUGUUCUGGGAUGGAUUCCUUCCACCGGGAUGAGAUCGGUUCCAAACGGGGAAAAAGAAAUAGAGAAUUGGAUCCAAAAGGCCACUUCAGUUGGGCAGCAAAAAAAAGGGGAGGGGGAGGUAUGUGAAUGGAACAGCAGGUGCUUGUUAAAAAAAAUAAAAUACCUCUGCAAAUGUACAAAGGGAGUGGAUCCUAAGAGGAAAACUGCAAAGCACAAAGGAUUUGGGUCAGGGGCACCCAACCGUAGCCGCUUUAAGACCUGUUGGACUGCAACAUGGCUGGCUGGGGAAUUCUGGGAGUUGCAGUCCAACAGGUCUUAAAGUAGCCACAAUUGGAUGCCCCAGAUUUAGGUAAUAAAUAAGGAAUUGGGCUGGGUCUUGCAAGCAGGUUGAAGUUCCACCAAUGCUGCUCUGGGAAGCAGAGAAGAAUCUAAAGCUUCAAAAUCCGGCCUUCAUUUCGGCCGGUUGUCUUCCGACGUGCCUGGAUGGAUUGGAACCCUGCACCGAAGUGGCCCUUGGAGCCAAAAAAAAAAAUGAAAGAUUUUCCUCCCUGUCCUUUCUCCCCUUUCCCCAGGGCUAGUGAGGAAGCACAGCGUGAAAUACGUUCCUGACCCUUUUCUAAAAAGUGCCAGACAGGUGCUAGCCACCAACGAGGCAGGAGGAAUGGUAGCGGAGAACUGUUUUCCCCGGACAAACUGAGGUCCUGUUUCAGAUACAUUCAAAGAACCUUUCAAGCAGCAGCAGUUAAUUUUUUUUCCAUUAUUCCCCUGUUAUUUAAAAGCAGCAUGUUAGAAAUAAAUAAUUAAAACAAAAACAAAAAACGACCCGAACAGAAUGGGAAAUUUAUAUUGUACCGUGUGAUGCCUGGGCAGACAACAGGAUUAAUUCAUGGCAGAUCAUACAAGAGGGAGAGGAGAACAAUGAGAGGUUGAAGUUUAUGUACAAGGAAAGCGAUCACAAAUACACAUCCCUUUACACGUACACACAAAAAAUACAAAUUAAAUAAUUCCUACAGUGCAUCGGACGAACAAAGCAGAAGGAAGGAAAACGACUUUGCUUGGAAAAGAACCAUCAGGAAUUCGCUUCGUUCCUUGGCAGCCCUUUCUAAUUUAAAGUAAUUUAAUGACCAAGGGGGAAACUGGGCACAAGAAUUAAAAGUAUGCUGUUUGUUUGCAAAGACAGAUAGGAUAUAAAGAAAUAAAAGGAUGAAAUCAACUGACUCCAAUUGAAAGAAAGGAGCAGCUGAUUCUGAGAUUGCCGUCAGGGUGAAAGUCUUGGCUUCAGCUCCUGCCAUUUAACCGCAGAGGAGACGAUGCCAAUGGUCCUUGCUUGGAGCUGCAGGGCCUGCGCAGAGGGUUGGCUGGCCCGUGGCAGCAGCCCUGCAGCUCCGGAGACCGGCCCGAAGAGCUGGCUGGCUCUAGGCCGCGUCGGCUGCUUAAAGCUUUCUACAUCCAGCUUCUGCCGAAAUUUAGCUUAAUUUCUUUUUUAAAGUGAAGCACAGAGGCGGAGUUUCUUUCUCUGCUUUGCAGGAAAGCAGGGCUGGUUGAAUUUUAGGAUGGGUUAAGGACUUCCAAAGGAAAGGGGGGGGGGAAAUCAUCUUAAUUCCCUUACAUUUAUUUUAAAUCAACCGCCGCACAGCCAGAUCCGGAGCAUCUAAAAUAAGCAACAGAAGGCGGCUUUAAGAUUUACACUGAACCUCUUGCUCACGUAAAGGUUGGCCCAAGCUGAGGUGGUGCCCUCAGUUAUGCUGUGCCCUUCUGACUCCUUAAUGCUCCUAUAGAGCACUUUAUAUAAUUCUUCCCUUGUUACAUAUGGAGUGGUUUUUCCAGAGCAAAUUUUCCCACCAGCUUUGUUCCAAGCUCAACAAACAGUUACAGGAGUGUAGUAGACACACUAUUGCCCAAAAAAACGUUUCCUUUCCCAGCUUCAGACAAGAUUCCUUGUGUGUGUGUGUGUGUGUGCGCGCACGCUAAGUAGUGUAUCUCACCGUACGGUUGGGAGUCCCACUGCUAAGACUCCGUUUUAGUGCAAUAAACCCAAAGCAAUCAAACCAAAUGCAUAGCUAUGUCCCAUUUUACUUCCUUUACAGGCCCCCUUCAUUCUAUGCCAGGGGCAUCCAAGCUUGGCAACAUGGAAGACCUGUGGACUUCAACUCUCAGAAUUCCCCUUUUGGGGGACUGUGGACUGUGAAGUCCACAGAUCUUCCAAGUCGCCAAGCUUGGACGCCCCUGCUCUGCGCAGAAGUGGCACAGAAAAUGCUCAGAAAAUCUCCCCGACUCUGCGUCACAGCAAACUCUGUGGGCUACCACGGCAGAAUUAAAAGGAGGAUUUCCCCACUCCACCCCCAAAUGAAAAAGCCCCUUCCUCCAGGGCCCCUAGCCAGGGGGGGUCUCACUAAGGCAUUGAUCUGAAGACAGGAGGUUGGGGGGGGGGGAGCUACAACUGCGGCCAAGCCCAAUGGCGAUUGAAUGCACAAGAAUUGAAACCACCGUGCAUGGUAUUAUUUUUUUGGGGGGGGGGAGAAUCAGAUUUUUGCCUUUCUCUGGACAGAUCAGUGAUUACCAAGGUUCUUUGUGGGCCCAAGUUUUGCAGAGAUGCUAAAGACUAAUGCUAAAAGUUUUGCAGAGAUGCAAAAUGAGAGAGAGACACAUACCUUUGUGUGUGUGUGUGUGUGUGUGUGUGUGUGUGUGCGCAUGCAUGCACUAGUUUAGAAAGCCCAUGAGGUCACAUUUUUCCUUGCCAGCCUGCAGGCAAAAGCCAGAAGGAGUGCAUCCACUUCCACCAUAAGCUAACCGAGAAAGGGGGAGGCUGGCUGGAUUUCCUGGUAAGUAGGGAGCAUUCAGCCACGUGAGACCCGCCUGGCUGCAGUUUGAAUACGAAUUUCUUGGAGGUUCUGCAAAGGAAAAACAGGAAUGUCUACUGUGGAACCCCCAAAGGGAGAGAUGCUCCUGCAGGAGACAAUCAGU
rnacentral:lncRNA from 1 species